AAAGUCAAGGUCAAGUAAGAGGUCAAGGUCAAGAAUGAGGUCAAAGUCGGGAUAGAGGUCAAAGUUUAGGUUGAGUUAGAGGUCAAGGUCAAGAAUGAGGUCAAAGUCGGGGUAGAGGUCAAAGCCAAGGUCAAGUUAGAGGUCAAGGUCAAGAAUGAGGUCAAAGUCGGGUCAGAGGUCAAAGCCAAGGUCAUGUUAGAGGUCAAAGUCGUGAUAGAGGUCAAAGUAAAGGUCGAGUUAGUGGUCAAGGUCAAGAAUGAG